AACAAUCGGGCAAAAUCAUAACUGCGAACAACGAAUUCGCUCUUGCUGCCUAAUUAAAGGCAACGACGCUUCCCAUCCCUUCCGCCUGCGGGGGAUCUGAAGCGAGGUUAGCAGGCUGGCCGAUUUUCCGCCCGUCGGGAAGAGGCGAGAUCUUAGGCGGGACUUUCCCUUCCGACGCCUGUCGGUUGAGCCAAGGUAAGGGAUAAGACUUGAUCAUCCGACUACACAUGUAGAAGCAGCUGGCGCGGAUCGCUAGGACGCGGGUUCGAUUCCCGCCGCCUCCACCA
rnacentral:tmRNA from 1 species